CAGAGAUCCAGCAGCAGCAGAAAUCAGCACUAUGUACAAUAAAGUUGGCACAUCAGAUAUCAGAUACCAGAACAACCUGCCCCACUUCAUUGUCAUUGCUGUUGCUAUGUCUGACAAGCCAUGAUGGUGAAAAAUACAUCACAGAACAAAGAGGAAUCUGGGAGCACACCAACAGACAAGACAGAGCAGGUUACUUUAGGUAUGAAAUAAAGUCUCAACUUUCAAAGUUUGUAAUUUUUUAAGAAAUUUGGACAAUAAAUACCAUUUUGUGGCUCCAUUCACUAUCACUAUUACAAAUCUACAUUCCCUCCCUCCUCCAGGAUCUACUAGUGAGCAACGCCUUGUGGUGCCAUCACAGAGAGGCACAAAAUCACAUUCCAGAACAUUCUCUUUCACCGUUCCUGGCUGGUGGAGUGAUCUUCCCACUCCUGUCCUGAAUGCUGAUUCCCAGAUCAUUUUCAAGCGACAGCUGAAAACUCAUCUCUUUCGUCACCAUCUAACUUCAUUUAAAAAAAAAAACACCUUUGCUUCUCUUUACUUAUUCCCCUGUCUAGCUCAUACUAUUUGAACAAUGCCUGAAACUUGGUAUUAUAAGCACUCCCUGUGUCUAUUUACCUCUUUAAGAUAAAUCGUUUGACGUAUUCCCCAAUUGUAAAUUGCUUUGGAUAAAAAAUGUGUCGCCCCACCCACAGCACUUCUCAAUGGUUAGUGGCAAAGUAAUGACGUCGACACCAUGAUAAUGACGUCGUGCCAUGGUAAACAGGAAAUGCAGUCGAAACAAUACAUGGUAGUAAUACAUAAUCAUAUAAAACAAAACUGUGAACCCGUUAAUUACUUAUACAUGGUAAAAUAUAUAGUAUUAAACAAUACUUUGUACAUUUUUUGGAAAACACUUCAUUAUGAACAUUUCCAAGCAAGAAUCCAAUUACUGCCUUUGACUUGCAAUCGCAAUGUCAACGAAUAUAUUUUUAUUUACAACUUAAGUUUUAAGUUAUUUCUAUUCAUAUUGGUCAUUUACCACUUGGUCGGUUUUUUUUUUUUUUUAACGUUUUUU